UUUUCUUUCUUUCUUUCUUUCUUUUUUUCUCUCUCUCUAUUUUUCUCUCUUUCUCUCUUUCUUUCCCUCCCCCUCUCUCCCUCAUCCCCAUGAUGGCUGCCCAUCUCACCAUUGCCGACAGACACUACCGGUGACUCCACUACAGUGGCACCAUUGUUGGCGAUGCCACUGUCGAUCAAUAGUCUCCUCCACCGCCGGCGGCUACCCUUCAUCUCCGACCAUAUCUUCCAUCUCUCUAUAUUUCUCUCCCUCUCUUUUUUCACUCCACCCCGACACUCAUUAUUUCCACUUUCAUUUUGGAGGCUUUAAAAAAAUGGUGUUUUGGCACUGUGCUGAGAAUUGGAGAAACAUGGAAGCAGUUGGGGCAAGUGAAGAUAAGGCAUGAGUUGAGCUAGCUGAGGACUAGAACUUUUGGAUUAAAAAGGAAAAAAAAUGAGCAGAAAAGGCAGAGAGAGGGGGGGUGACGCCUUUGGAAGGACGAGAUAUCCCUCUAUGUGUAUUUUUCUGUGAGUGUUUGAGAGUUGGGAUUUUUUUUAGCUUCAUUUUGAAAGCUUUUGAGGGCCAUUACUAUUAUUGGGACUGCACUUCUAAGGUUAUUUAAUAAUCCUUGUCCUAAUUUUUGUUGUAUAUAUUUGUUUUAAUUUUUUCCCUAUAUAAUGGACUUGUUUAGAUUUUUAUUGUGAAUAUCCAUUUAAUUUGUUAUUCAUGGAUUUGUUUUA